ensembl:lncRNA
AUCCUGUUCAGGCCUCGCUGUGGUUUGCGUGAUUCAAAGGCGAUGAUGACGAAGUGUCAGAGAACAGAAAACUCAGUUUAGGUGGAGCUGGACUGUUACUGUCAACCAAACUAGACCGGACUGAAAGAUGCGCACUUACUGUGUACUUCCACACUUUUUUGCUGCUCUUCUCUUGUGUGAUUAUGGGAUGUUCUCCACACCAUCACCAUCUCCUUCAGGGAUCCCCACUAAUGCAAUAUCAACGAUAUCCGACUCUAACACUACUGUGACGACAGCUAAAUCCGUAACAGCCGGGAAUGGCUCGAGCACGUUAGAAUCUGGCUUAGGGAAAAAUCUGCCAAAUGAUUUAAAUGGUACGACUGAGAGCAGCAGAGACCAUUCUGUCACUGAAUCUCAAAGGGUUAAUGGAAGCACCAGCAGAGCGAUCGCUUCAACAGCAAGUCCAGAGAGCACCACACACAACGUGAAGCACCAUACUACUCAAGAAAAAAAAGUUUCAGAUUCAACAACGGUUACAGGAGGUGAGCUCGACUCUCUGCACGACACAGCAUCUGCUUUGUGGAAGAUGAGAAAUAUGCUUUCUUCCUGCCUCACCAGCCUUCAUUUAUUUGAUCAAAAACAACAGCAUUUAUUUGAAAUGAAAUAGUUUCUGUAGUGUUAUAAAUUUCUUUACUGUCACCUUUGAUCGAAUGACUUUUGAUGAUUUCAAUGACUUUACUGUCACUUAAUCAACCUAUUAAUUAAUUAUAAACUGAGAACCACAACAACAGAUCUCUGUGUGUUUUUGACAGGUGUCAUCAUUUUGAUCAUCAUCCUGCUCCUGAUUUUUUCUCUGCUUGGCAUUUUGUACUAUCUGAGAAAGAAAGCAAGGAGUUACUCAUUUGAUCUGACUCACGUCGACGUAGCUGCCAAUGAUUACACUGACACCCCGCUCAGGAGCGACCAACAAGGCAUAAGCUAUGAACAAACUAACAAAGAUCUGCCUGUGUGUUCAGACUAUGUACAAGAGGACAAGACUACAGAGGAGAAGACUAAUCCCAUCGCAAAUGGGUCUUGUGGAGAGAAAACUGAACAAGCACCCACCAAUGACAACGAUUAUCAGAAUGUUCCAGAAGAGAACAGUUUCUCUUCAAACUCGAGCUUGAGUACACCCAUGAAGAACGAGGAUUUUAACCUGUACCUAAAUCUGCUUGGAGGUGAUUUAAACGAUUUGACCGAAGCUGAAGCCACCGAUACGACGCAAAAUGAAAACAACAAUAAUGUCAGUAAUGCUGAGCAGGGAGCAGCAGAAGAGAUCUUCACUGAAAUCAGUCUAGAUGAGCCAAACUAGCAUGCAUAGUGUGUGUUUCCAGUGCAGCGGUCAAGAUCUCGGGUGUCCGGUACCUAGAUCCAAACUAUAGACUAUAUGAGUGCAAAAGCAUCCUUCUGCCAUUCUCACUUUAAGUUCUGUUUCAUCUACUGCUAAAGGAGAUUGUAUACUGUACAUAAAAAAAGAACAUUGAAUCAUUGGUUGAAGUUUAUGUAAAAAUUUUAAUGCUUUAUAAAAUAAUUUGUGGCUAUAAUAAACAUUCGCUGUGUAAUGCAAUGCACUUGUGUGUGUUUGACUGACGCCUGAAGCUUCUUCAUUAACAUUCAUUUGAGAGUUUCACUAUAUAAUUUGUUCAGCUGAAGGUGAUGGGCACAAUGGGGAAAGACACAGAGAAAGAGCUUAAAUACUCCUGGUCUUCCUCAGUUUAGAGGGAAAAUGGCCUAUCACCAGAAGAUGUAUCUUCACUGGCCAAGUAGUGCUUAAUUUGCUUUAUACAGUAUUACCCAAUCACGUUGUACAUAGUUGUGGCAUCGAACAUAAAGACUGCUGUUAUCC